rnacentral:rRNA from 1 species
GACGAACGCUGGCGGCGUGGAUUAGGCAUGCAAGUCGAACGGUAUCAUCCUUUCGGGGGUGAGAGAGUGGCGAACUGGUGAGUAACACGUAGGUUAUCUACCCUCAAGACGGGGACAACCCAGGGAAACUUGGGCUAAUACCGGAUGUGAGCAACUUUUAGUUGUUUGAAAGGUGGCGUAAGCUGUCGCUUGGGGAUGAGCCUGCGUCCUAUUAGUUAGUUGGUGAGGUAACGGCUCACCUAGGCAAUGAUAGGUAGGCGGCCUUAACGGGUGGUCGCCCACACUGGGAUUGAGAUACGGCCCAGACUCCUACGGGAGGCAGCAGUCGAGAAUAGUCUACAAUGGUCGGAAGACUGAUAGUGCGACGCCGCGUGAACGAUGAAUCCCUUCGGGGUGUAAAGUUCUUUUAUAUGUGAGCAGUGCUUCUUAUAUUAACAGUAUGGGGAGAGAGAUAUUAGCAUAUGAAUAAGCAACGGCUAAACUCCGUGUCAGCAGCCGCGGUAAAACG